UUGAAGAGUUUGAUCAUGGCUCAGAUUGAACGCUGGCGGCAGGCCUAACACAUGCAAGUCGAACGGUAGCAGGAAGUGCUUGCACUUCGCUGACGAGUGGCGGACGGGUGAGUAAUGCUUGGGAACUUGCCUUUGCGAGGGGGAUAACAGUUGGAAACGACUGCUAAUACCGCAUAAUGUCUACGGACCAAACGGGGCUUAGGCUUCGGCGCAGAGAGAGGCCCAAGUGAGAUUAGCUAGUUGGUGGGGUAAAGGCUCACCAAGGCAACGAUCUCUAGCUGUUCUGAGAGGAAGAUCAGCCACACUGGAACUGAGACACGGUCCAGACUCCUACGGGAGGCAGCAG
rnacentral:rRNA from 1 species